rnacentral:rRNA from 1 species
CAGCAGCCGCGGUAAUACGUAGGGUGCGAGCGUUAAUCGGAAUUACUGGGCGUAAAGAGCUCGUAGGUGGUUUGUCGCGUUGUUCGUGAAAACUCACAGCUCAACUGUGGGCGUGCGGGCGAUACGGGCAGACUAGAGUACUGCAGGGGAGACUGGAAUUCCUGGUGUAGCGGUGGAAUGCGCAGAUAUCAGGAGGAACACCGGUGGCGAAGGCGGGUCUCUGGGCAGUAACUGACGCUGAGGAGCGAAAGCGUGGGGAGCGAACAGGAUUAGAUACCCCAGUAGUCCCUGUCUCUUAUAC